GACGAACGCUGGCGGCGUGCCUAAUAUAUGCAAGUCGAACGCUUUUUCUUUCACCGGAGCUUGCUCCACCGAAAGAAAAAGAGUGGCGAACGGGUGAGUAACACGUGGGUAACCUGCCCAUCAGAAGGGGAUAACACUUGGAAACAGGUGCUAAUACCGUAUAACACUAUUUUCCGCAUGGAAGGAAGUUGAAAGGCGCUUUUGCGUCACUGAUGGAUGGACCCGCGGUGCAUUAGCUAGUUGGUGAGGUAACGGCUCACCAAGGCAACGAUGCAUAGCCGACCUGGGGGGGUGAUCGGCCACACUGGGACUGAGACACGGCCCAGACUCCUACGGGAGGCAGCAGUAGGGAAUCUUCGGCAAUGGACGAAAGUCUGACCGAGCAACGCCGCGUGAGUGAAGAAGGUUUUCGGAUCGUAAAACUCUGUUGUUAGAGAAGAACAAGGAUGAGAGUAAAACGUUCAUCCCUUGACGGUAUCUAACCAGAAAGCCACGGCUAACUACGUGCCAGCCGCCGCCGUAA
rnacentral:rRNA from 1 species